rnacentral:rRNA from 1 species
GAGCGAGAAAGUGGAGCAAUCCAUGAGUACAGCGGCGCACGGGGUGAGUAACACGUGACUAACCUACCCUCGAGUGGGGAAUAACUUCGGGAAACCGAGGCUAAUACCGCAUAACACCCACGGGUCAAAGGAGCAAUCCGCUUGAGGAGGGGGUCGCGGCCGAUUAGUUAGUUGGCGGGGUAACGGCCCACCAAGACGAUGAUCGGUAUCCGGCCUGAGAGGGCGCACGGACACACUGGAACUGAAACACGGUCCAGACUCCUACGGGAGGCAGCAGUGGGGAAUCUUGCGCAAUGGGCGAAAGCCUGACGCAGCAACGCCGCGUGGAGGACGAAGGCUUUCUGAGUUGUAAACUCCUUUCAGCAGGGACGAUAGUGACGGUACCUGCAGAAGAAGCACCGGCCAACUACGUG